UAAGUUAGAAAGGGCACACGGUGGAUGCCUUGACACUAGGAGUCGAUGAAGGACGGGACUAACGCCGAUAUGCUUCGGGGAGCUGUAAGUAAGCUUUGAUCCGAAGAUUUCCGAAUGGGGAAACCCACCAUACGUAAUGGUAUGGUAUCCUUAUCUGAAUACAUAGGGUAAGGAAGACAGACCCAGGGAACUGAAACAUCUAAGUACCUGGAGGAAGAGAAAGCAAAUGCGAUUUCCUGAGUAGCGGCGAGCGAAACGGAACAUAGCCCAAACCAAGAGGCUUGCCUCUUGGGGUUGUAGGACAUUCUAUACGGAGUUACAAAGGAACGAGGUAGACGAAGCGACCUGGAAAGGUCCGUCGUAGAGGGUAACAACCCCGUAGUCGAAACUUCGUUCUCUCUUGAAUGUAUCCUGAGUACGGCGGAACACGUGAAAUUCCGUCGGAAUCUGGGAGGACCAUCUCCCAAGGCUAAAUACUCCCUAGUGAUCGAUAGUGAACCAGUACCGCGAGGGAAAGGUGAAAAGCACCCCGGAAGGGGAGUGAAAGAGAUCCUGAAACCGUGUGCCUACAAAUAGUCAGAGCCCGUUAACGGGUGAUGGCGUGCCUUUUGUAGAAUGAACCGGCGAGUUACGAUCCCGUGCGAGGUUAAGCUGAAGAGGCGGAGCCGCAGCGAAAGCGAGUCUGAAUAGGGCGUUUAGUACGUGGUCGUAGACCCGAAACCAGGUGAUCUACCCAUGUCCAGGGUGAAGUUCAGGUAACACUGAAUGGAGGCCCGAACCCACGCACGUUGAAAAGUGCGGGGAUGAGGUGUGGGUAGCGGAGAAAUUCCAAUCGAACCUGGAGAUAGCUGGUUCUCCCCGAAAUAGCUUUAGGGCUAGCCUUAAGUGUAAGAGUCUUGGAGGUAGAGCACUGAUUGGACUAGGGGUCCUCAUCGGAUUACCGAAUUCAGUCAAACUCCGAAUGCCAAUGACUUAUCCUUAGGAGUCAGACUGCGAGUGAUAAGAUCCGUAGUCAAAAGGGAAACAGCCCAGACCGCCAGCUAAGGUCCCAAAGUGUGUAUUAAGUGGAAAAGGAUGUGGAGUUGCUUAGACAACUAGGAUGUUGGCUUAGAAGCAGCCACCAUUUAAAGAGUGCGUAAUAGCUCACUAGUCGAGUGACUCUGCGCCGAAAAUGUACCGGGGCUAAAUACACCACCGAAGCUGCGGAUUGAUACCAAUGGUAUCAGUGGUAGGGGAGCGUUCUAAGGACAGUGAAGUCAGACCGGAAGGACUGGUGGAGUGCUUAGAAGUGAGAAUGCCGGUAUGAGUAGCGAAAGACGGGUGAGAAUCCCGUCCACCGAAUGCCUAAGGUUUCCUGAGGAAGGCUCGUCCGCUCAGGGUUAGUCAGGACCUAAGCCGAGGCCGACAGGCGUAGGCGAUGGACAACAGGUUGAUAUUCCUGUACCACCUCUUUAUCGUUUGAGCAAUGGAGGGACGCAGAAGGAUAGAAGAAGCGUGCGAUUGGUUGUGCACGUCCAAGCAGUUAGGCUGAUAAGUAGGCAAAUCCGCUUAUCGUGAAGGCUGAGCUGUGAUGGGGAAGCUCCUUAUGGAGCGAAGUCUUUGAUUCCCCGCUGCCAAGAAAAGCUUCUAGCGAGAUAAAAGGUGCCUGUACCGCAAACCGACACAGGUAGGCGAGGAGAGAAUCCUAAGGUGUGCGAGAGAACUCUGGUUAAGGAACUCGGCAGAAUGACCCCGUAACUUCGGGAGAAGGGGUGCUUUCUUAACGGAAAGCCGCAGUGAAUAGGCCCAAGCGACUGUUUAGCAAAAACACAGCUCUCUGCGAAGCCGUAAGGCGAAGUAUAGGGGGUGACACCUGCCCGGUGCUGGAAGGUUAAGGAGAGGGGUUAGCGUAAGCGAAGCUCUGAACUGAAGCCCCAGUAAACGGCGGCCGUAACUAUAACGGUCCUAAGGUAGCGAAAUUCCUUGUCGGGUAAGUUCCGACCCGCACGAAAGGUGUAACGAUUUGGGCACUGUCUCAACCAGAGACUCGGUGAAAUUAUAGUACCUGUGAAGAUGCAGGUUACCCGCGACAGGACGGAAAGACCCCGUGGAGCUUUACUGUAGCCUGAUAUUGAAUUUUGGUACAGUUUGUACAGGAUAGGCGGGAGCCUUUGAAACCGGAGCGCUAGCUUCGGUGGAGGCGCUGGUGGGAUACCGCCCUGACUGUAUUGAAAUUCUAACCUACGGGUCUUAUCGACCCGGGAGACAGUGUCAGGUGGGCAGUUUGACUGGGGCGGUCGCCUCCUAAAGUGUAACGGAGGCGCCCAAAGGUUCCCUCAGAAUGGUUGGAAAUCAUUCGUAGAGUGCAAAGGCAUAAGGGAGCUAGACUGCGAGACCUACAAGUCGAGCAGGGACGAAAGUCGGGCUUAGUGAUCCGGUGGUUCCGCAUGGAAGGGCCAUCGCUCAACGGAUAAAAGCUACCCCGGGGAUAACAGGCUUAUCUCCCCCAAGAGUCCACAUCGACGGGGAGGUUUGGCACCUCGAUGUCGGCUCAUCGCAUCCUGGGGCUGUAGUCGGUCCCAAGGGUUGGGCUGUUCGCCCAUUAAAGCGGUACGCGAGCUGGGUUCAGAACGUCGUGAGACAGUUCGGUCCCUAUCCGUCGUGGGCGUAGGAAAUUUGAGAGGAGCUGUCCUUAGUACGAGAGGACCGGGAUGGACGCACCGCUGGUGUACCAGUUGUUCUGCCAAGGGCAUAGCUGGGUAGCUAUGUGCGGAAGGGAUAAGUGCUGAAAGCAUCUAAGCAUGAAGCCCCCCUCAAGAUGAGAUUUCCCAUAGCGUAAGCUAGUAAGAUCCCUGAAAGAUGAUCAGGUUGAUAGGUUCGAGGUGGAAGCAUGGUGACAUGUGGAGCUGACGAAUACUAAUAGAUCGAGGACUUAACCA
rnacentral:rRNA from 1 species